GUAGGGGGCAAGCGUUAUCCGGAUUUACUGGGUGUAAAGGGAGCGUAGACGGAGAAGCAAGUCUGAAGUGAAAGCCCGUGGCUUAACCACGGGACUGCUUUGGAAACUGUUUGACUAGAGUGCUGGAGAGGUAAGUGGAAUUCCUAGUGUAGCGGUGAAAUGCGUAGAUAUUAGGAGGAACACCAGUGGCGAAGGCGGCUUACUGGACAGUAACUGACGUUGAGGCUCGAAAGCGUGGGGAGCAAA
rnacentral:rRNA from 1 species